UUUUUACAGCCACUCCCCUCUCGCAUUACCGCCUGAGCUCCGCUUCCUGUCGGGUCAGCAGCGGCAUUAGCGUCUCAUAGGAGCAUGAACCCUACUGUGAACUGCGCAUGCGAGGGAUCUAGGCUGCGCGCUCCUUAUGAGAAUCUAACGCCUGAUGACCUAUCACUGUCUCCCAUCACUCCCAGAUGGGACCGUCUAGUUGCAGGAAAACAAGCUCAGGGCUCCCACUGAUUCUACAUUAUGAUCAACUGCAUGGGGUCCUACAGGAGAAGACCAAGAGACAGAGACAGAGACCAGGGAAAAUGACCGAUACCAUUCCUUCUCAGGGAUGCUACACACCCAUGGGGCAGAGGAUAAGAGGUUCCUGAAGGCAUCACCCCUCUGGCCAUGGCUGGUGUGCAGACAAAGCUGGAGAUUUGGAGUAGCCUGUUGUCCCACUGACUCUUAGACUGCCCCAGCUAAGAAGAACCAACUCCUCCUAUUACAGAUGAAAUAAACAAAGCUACUCAAGCUCUCUGGCAUCGCCCUGACGGUCAUCAUGUGCUUCACAUUUCCCUCCUGCCCCCCCUGAUUUUCUGGAAAAGGGAGAAAGUGUGUGAAAAAAAAUGGACAAUAACUUCUGUUAACUUUGUAGAUGUCUGGUUCCUCCAUAUGAGGCUGUGCUUGAAUCAAUUUUGGAGAGAGGGUUUCUAAAGUCUCUCUAGAUUCUAUUAAUUUUGAUAGAGACAAUAAAAGGCAGCAGGACCAACUCUGUGUGGUGGGAGAUCUAGCAACCAUUAUAGUCACAAUAGCCACCACUUACUGAACACCCACCAUGUGACAAAGAACAAAUGUGCAUGAAUUAUGUCACAUUUUUCACAAGCACCCCUUGAGUUGGGAGUUCACUCAUGAGGCAACUGAGGUUCAGGGAGAUGAAGUAACUCACCCUGUAGGUAGGAGGGCUGAGAUCUGGACGUAGAUCUUUCCUCCAAAGCUUUGUCUUUUUUUUUCUACUAUAGCACACCAAAGAGAGUUCUAGAAAAAAUGAGAAUAAGAAAUUUACCUGUAAUCCUUGCUCAAGAAACUGAAGCUCUGAGGCCACAUUGUUCCAGCCUUUUGCAGCUCCUGCAUGUGGAUACCAGCACCAGCAGCUCCCCGACCAGGGGCCCCAGCUAAGCCCUCCCAGAGGAUGAUCUUGGCUUUGUACAUGGGGUGUCAAUAUCCUGUGAGUCCAACAGAGGGAAGACAUAAGAAUAUGGUCACCCAGGUAACAGACAUUUGUCUUAAUGUAUUCACUGUGUCAUCAGAAGCCACUUCUUAUCCAUCCUUGUGAAUACUUGAUGAAUGAGGAGUCAAUGAUUAAAUGAAGGAAAGAAAAGAGACUGAAAAGGAGGUAUGAGAAUGGGAAAGACGAGUGGAAAGACGAGAUAGAUAUUGCCCUAAAGACACAGUAAGCCAUCAAAUAUCUGUUUUCUAGUCCCCUUCUGGGCCCUCUUGGAUUUUGAAAAAGGGAGGAAGAAAUUGGAAAAAUUACCAAUAACUUCUAUUGACUUUGUAGAUUCCUAGUUUCCCCACAUGUGGCUAUGCUUGAAUCAACUUGUAAAAGUCUCUUUAUAGUCUGUUGAUGUUCAUGCAGGCACUAAAAGGCCACGGUCGGCCUACUUAGAUGAUCCACUCCACCCUGGGCUCCGGAAGAUGUUCCAGGGCAUUUGCCUUUACUUGACCCUAUGCUGAGAAGCUACCAAUAUUUUUCUUUCCCCAAAUUGGUUUUAUUUGUACCCUUUAUAUAUUAAAUAUUAGAGUAUUGGCCA
rnacentral:lncRNA from 1 species